rnacentral:rRNA from 1 species
CUGGGAUAACGUUCGGAAACGGACGCUAAUACCGCAUACGUCCUACGGGAGAAAGCAGGGGACCUUCGGGCCUUGCGCUAUCAGAUGAGCCUAGGUCGGAUUAGCUAGUUGGUGAGGUAAUGGCUCACCAAGGCGACGAUCCGUAACUGGUCUGAGAGGAUGAUCAGUCACACUAGAACUGAGACACGGUCCAGACUCCUACGGGAGGCAGCAGUGGGGAAUAUUGGACAAUGGGCGAAAGCCUGAUCCAGCCAUGCCGCGUGUGUGAAGAAGGUCUUCGGAUUGUAAAGC